UGAUCUAGGAUUUAAGUCCAUGGCCCUUCCAUUACCGAGAAGUAGAACGGAGGCAGCAUGGGGCUUGCUGGUGCAGACAUCUCAUAAUUCCAAGCAGUGGUAGCCACCAAGAAGAAAGGAGAUGAGAAGGUGAAGCAAAAAAGAAGGGAGGAAGGGAAAGAGGAAAGGUACAGAUAUACAAGAAGCUAAAGGGAAGAGCAGAGCCAACGAGGGCUUUCCACUCUUCACCGACAAUGGCAAAAUGCCUUCUCAUCUGAAUGGCUCCCACGCUUCACUCCAUUGGAGAACUUCCCUUCUCUCACCCCUUCAGUCUACACUCGGGCUCUUUGCAGGCUGGAUCGUGUGGCAGAAGCCCCAUCAGUGUCUGCUGAGCUGGACUGCUAAAAGGUUCUGCACCUCUCACAGAUCCAGGGUGUAAACUGAAGAGUAUAUACUUCCUGGGGAUGAGUUCCCAUCACCCAAGUCUAUGCAACUGACACAAGCACACUGGUUGAAAUACGUAUUGGUGAUAUCUUUGGCAUUGCUCAGAACAGUCCAGAGCGGGCCGUUGCUUAUCCAUCUCUUCAUGUCCCCAGGAGGCAGUUCUCUCUGCGCACCUCUGACACUUGGGACUAGAGCUGGCCUCCAUUUGGCCAGUAGGUGGAAUGAGAAACACGGAUCACAGGACAAGGACUAGUUCUUUACGUUUCUUUUGUAGACAUCAUGACCAAGGACUGCGCUCUACACGACCCAGUCGAGGUCUCUGAGGCCCUGGAGGAUGGUAGAGCCACACGAUGAAAGCGACUAGGUCCGUGCAUCACUCUGUGGAGCACAGUGCUUCCCCCACACUGGCCUGGGAUGUGAGAAAGAAAGCCUCCGCCUACAGGUCCCACUGCUCCUCGCUCCACCUUUGCCUGCGCUCCUGGAACACCCACGUGACCUUCUGCCUGGAGCCCCCAAGAGACCUCAAGGAUUGCAGGCUUUCAUCCUUAGUCUGAAGCUUUAUUUCAGAAAACAAGUUGGAAGAAAAGAAGGGUAUCUGGAAAACUUACCUCAAGAAACAUUUUUUCCAUGAAACUCUCAUUGAACCUUGGAGUCCUGAACAGGCAUAGCACCUUGGAGGGCAGACGUUGCUGUGCCUGAGAACAAGAAAGCCCCUGUGGUUUCCUUCUCAGCUCCGUGCUUUACAAAUGAGGCACCUUUGUGUCUUUACAGCAGAGACUACGGUCUAGUCCUCUCCUGGGUGCUCUGGUCCAUUGCCAAGUCCUCUAAAGCCUGAUGGCACCUUCCUCGCAGCCUGAGAGCAAAAUAACGUGGUGUUAAGGCCCAGGAAGCAAGCUCAUCUUGUACAAACCUGUUCCAUCCCCAGAAGCAACCAUUUCUUUGAGGAGCCCUAGUUCUUUGGUGGGCGAAGGUACUAGAGAUAAAGAUCUGGGCA